AAAGGUUUGGUCCUGACUUUUUUGUCAUCUCUAGCUAGAUUUACACAUGCAAGUAUCCGCCCCCCCGUGAGAAUGCCCUGACAGUUCCCCUUCCGGGAACAAGGAGCUGGUAUCAGGCACUUUUUACUAAAUCGCCCACAACACCUUGCUUAGCCACACCCCCAAGGGAAUUCAGCAGUGAUAAACAUUAAGCUAUAAGUGAAAACUUGACUUAGUUACAGCUAUUAGGGCCGGUAAAACUCGUGCCAGCCACCGCGGUUAUACGAGAGGCCCAAGAUGACAGACGCCGGCGUAAAGAGUGGUUAAGUCAAACCCAGUAAAACUAAAGCCGAACGCCCUCAAGACCGUUAUACGCAUAUUGAAGGUAUGAAGCCCAACUACGAAAGUGACUUUAAACUAAGCCUGACCCCACGAGAGCUGUGGAACAAACUGGGAUUAGAUACCCCACUAUGCUCAGCCCUAAACUUUGAUAGUUUCACCACCCCCACUAUCCGCCUGGGUACUACAAGCCUUAGCUUUAAACCCAAAGGACUUGGCGGUGCUUAAGAUCCACCUAGAGGAGCCUGUUCUAGAACCGAUAACCCCCGUUCAACCUUACCCUCUCUUGUUUUUACCGCCUAUAUACCGCCGUCGUCAGCUUACCCUGUGAAGGGCUAGUAGUAAGCAAGAUUAGUAAGACUCAAAACGCCAGGUCGAGGUGUAGCGUAUGAGAGGGAAUGAGAUGGGCUACAUUUCCUAAGCAGGAAAUACGAAUAAUGAAUUGAAACAAACAUUCUUGAAGGAGGAUUUAGCAGUAAAUGAGGAACAGAGCGCUUCGUUGAAACUGGCCCUAAAGCACGCACACACCGCCCGUCACUCUCCCCGAGACAAAUACUAUCGAUACUUAAACUACUCAACUAACAUUAGAGGGGAGGCAAGUCGUAACAUGGUAAGUGUACCGGAAGGUGCACUUGGA
rnacentral:ncRNA from 1 species